GCCCUUCCUAAUGUCAUAGCGUUUUGUGAUUUCCUGCGAUAACCGCCCAGAAAACAAACAAGUCUUCAAAGCGACGCUGUGUAUUUUUAGUAAACACAUAAUAUAAUAUUUUGAAUUACAACAAAAUUGUUAUUAUGUGUUGAAAGAAAAAUACACAGCGUCGCAGGAAUUUCUUCCUGGUGAAGACUCUAUGACAUUAGGAAGGGCUUGCCCACAGAUGCAAUAAACGCCCUCGCAGGUGACAGAUAAGUAAGAUACCAAUUUAGCAGGAAAAUUAGGG
rnacentral:lncRNA from 1 species